CACACCGCCCGUCACAUCACGAAAGUGGUUUGUACUAGAAGUCGUGAUCCUAACCCGUCGCAAGACGGGAGGUAACGCCCAAGGUAUGAACCAUGAUUGGGGUG
rnacentral:rRNA from 1 species